CCAAAAGGGAAGACUGUCAGAUGGGAAAAGAAAACAAAACUGUGAGCCAGACUUCCUUCCUCCUGGGGUGCCCCCAAGCUGAGGCUGAGUCCAGACCAGGGGUGAAUUGAGAUUAGGGUUGAAAUGGCGGCCACACGUUGCUUUCCACUUCUUCCUGUGGUUGAAACCAGAACCAAAUGAGGUGCAAACCUUCCGAAAUGAUAGCGGUUUACCAGCCGGAGGAAGACGCUGCCUGACCUCGUUUCUGCUCUCAGAAACACACGCCCUGGUCUCCGCAGCUCCCCGCCUCCCUACCCAAGGCUUCCAGCCACACUUCCACUGUCUGCGUCUCUCCUGAUCUGUCCUCUGAGAACGUGCCAUUCUGUAACCCAUGUUCUGACAGCACGGGGCAGUCAGCUCCGAGGCUCCCCGGGGCCUCCAGUCCUCUCCACCUGUCUUCCCCAAACACACACCUCACACUCCUCCUCCUACAGAGCUGACGGCAGGCUCUCCACACCAGAAGGCCUGCACCCCUGCUCUGAUCCACCUCUGGGCCCUCUGUCCCAGGACGCAGGAUACUUCCCCUCCAGAGAGCCCACCCGCCCCUACCCUCCUGCCCUGGCUGGCGUGGGUCUGCCCUGCACAUCCCUCACUCACGCCAGCACCCCUGCCCGAGCUCCAUGCCCUCUCCUCUAGGACAGUCCUUUUGCCCCGUAGGGAACAUUUGGCACCUUCUCGAGAUACUUUCGGUUGUCACAACGGAGGAAGGGUAGGCAGAGGCCAGCGGUGGCACCAAACACAGGUCAGCCCUGCAACAAAGAAUCAUCAGGCCCCAAACGUCAACGGUGCGGAGGUCGAGGACCUCUGCUCGGGGGCAGUGGCCUCGCCAUAGCAAGGACUUGCGCAAGAUCUCCCGGCGGUUAGCAGAAGCAGAAUGGAAGCCAGCCUACCUGAUUUCUGGGCAGCUUCUUCCCCUGAGACUGUAAUAACAAUAAUAUGGCCCUUUAUGCAGCAUAACUACGUGCCCAGCGCCGCACUGAGAGCGUGUAUGAAUUAUCUCACUUAAUCGUCACGUCAACCCUAGGCAACGGCAGUAUUAAUUAUUCCCACUUCUUGCAUGAGAAAACUGAGGCACAGAGAGGUUGACGCUUGCUCAGUCACCCAGCCAGUGAGUCGCAUGUACAAGCCCGGGCCCAUCUGAACUCCAGCUCGGUGCUCAUGGAUGACUGACUUUCUACGCCCCCGCCACCGUCCUCUUAACCCCUUCCCUGUCAGUCUCCCACCCAACCCUUCCCUCUCAGAAUGUACCCGCACAGAGGCAGGUACAUUCUCGGUCCCCUCUCGGCACCGGCCGAGCCCCCAGCCUCGGGUGCAGACAGCUGACUGGAGCCGGACGGCGCGUGGGCACGGCUGGGCACCGGGGUGGUCAGACAGGUCCCUCCUGGCAAGAGGCACAUCUAGAGAUUUCCACUUCCAAACAGGUGGUGAACAUCGGCACAGAACCCACAGGACUGAGACAAUGCAUAUGUUGAUACUGAGAUUUUAAGAGGUUCUUCUGGGGAGGCCCAGGGAAUUCUCCCUCUGUUUUCAGGCAGCCCCCAGCCUCUCCCACCCCCACACGAGCCUUCUGAAGAGGCUGCCGCCUACGCUCCCCAAAAUAUGGCAUUAAAGACGCACCCUCGCUGAGGGGAGCCCUGGCCGCC